rnacentral:rRNA from 2 species
GGGAAUCUUCCGCAAUGGACGAAAGUCUGACGGAGCAACGCCGCGUGAGUGAUGAAGGUUUUCGGAUCGUAAAGCUCUGUUGUUAGGGAAGAACAAGUGCGAGAGUAACUGCUCGCACCUUGACGGUACCUAACCAGAAAGCCACGGCUAACUACGUGCCAGCAGCCGCGGUAAUACGUAGGUGGCAAGCGUUGUCCGGAAUUAUUGGGCGUAAAGGGCUCGCAGGCGGUUUCUUAAGUCUGAUGUGAAAGCCCCCGGCUCAACCGGGGAGGGUCAUUGGAAACUGGGAAACUUGAGUGCAGAAGAGGAGAGUGGAAUUCCACGUGUAGCGGUGAAAUGCGUAGAGAUGUGGAGGAACACCAGUGGCGAA